rnacentral:rRNA from 2 species
GAGUUUGAUCAUGGCUCAGAUUGAACGCUGGCGGCAGGCCUAACACAUGCAAGUCGAACGGUAACAGGAAGAAGCUUGCUUCUUUGCUGACGAGUGGCGGACGGGUGAGUAAUGUCUGGGAAACUGCCUGAUGGAGGGGGAUAACUACUGGAAACGGUAGCUAAUACCGCAUAACGUCGCAAGACCAAAGAGGGGGACCUUCGGGCCUCUUGCCAUCGGAUGUGCCCAGAUGGGAUUAGCUUGUUGGUGGGGUAACGGCUCACCAAGGCGACGAUCCCUAGCUGGUCUGAGAGGAUGACCAGCCACACUGGAACUGAGACACGGUCCAGACUCCUACGGGAGGCAGCAGUGGGGAAUAUUGCACAAUGGGCGCAAGCCUGAUGCAGCCAUGCCGCGUGUAUGAAGAAGGCCUUCGGGUUGUAAAGUACUUUCAGCGGGGAGGAAGGGAGUAAAGUUAAUACCUUUGCUCAUUGACGUUACCCGCAGAAGAAGCACCGGCUAACUCCGUGCCAGCAGCCGCGGUAAUACGGAGGGUGCAAGCGUUAAUCGGAAUUACUGGGCGUAAAGCGCACGCAGGCGGUUUGUUAAGUCAGAUGUGAAAUCCCCGGGCUCAACCUGGGAACUGCAUCUGAUACUGGCAAGCUUGAGUCUCGUAGAGGGGGGUAGAAUUCCAGGUGUAGCGGUGAAAUGCGUAGAGAUCUGGAGGAAUACCGGUGGCGAAGGCGGCCCCCUGGACGAAGACUGACGCUCAGGUGCGAAAGCGUGGGGAGCAAACAGGAUUAGAUACCCUGGUAGUCCACGCCGUAAACGAUGUCGACUUGGAGGUUGUGCCCUUGAGGCGUGGCUUCCGGAGCUAACGCGUUAAGUCGACCGCCUGGGGAGUACGGCCGCAAGGUUAAAACUCAAAUGAAUUGACGGGGGCCCGCACAAGCGGUGGAGCAUGUGGUUUAAUUCGAUGCAACGCGAAGAACCUUACCUGGUCUUGACAUCCACGGAAGUUUUCAGAGAUGAGAAUGUGCCUUCGGGAACCGUGAGACAGGUGCUGCAUGGCUGUCGUCAGCUCGUGUUGUGAAAUGUUGGGUUAAGUCCCGCAACGAGCGCAACCCUUAUCCUUUGUUGCCAGCGGUCCGGCCGGGAACUCAAAGGAGACUGCCAGUGAUAAACUGGAGGAAGGUGGGGAUGACGUCAAGUCAUCAUGGCCCUUACGACCAGGGCUACACACGUGCUACAAUGGCGCAUACAAAGAGAAGCGACCUCGCGAGAGCAAGCGGACCUCAUAAAGUGCGUCGUAGUCCGGAUUGGAGUCUGCAACUCGACUCCAUGAAGUCGGAAUCGCUAGUAAUCGUGGAUCAGAAUGCCACGGUGAAUACGUUCCCGGGCCUUGUACACACCGCCCGUCACACCAUGGGAGUGGGUUGCAAAAGAAGUAGGUAGCUUAACCUUCGGGAGGGCGCUUACCACUUUGUGAUUCAUGACUGGGGUGAAGUCGUAACAAGGUAACCGUAGGGGAACCUGCGGUUGGAUCACC